rnacentral:rRNA from 1 species
CGGGGGGAGCAAGCGUUGUUCGGAUUUACUGGGCGUAAAGGGCGCGUAGGCGGCCACCGCAAGUCGACUGUGAAAUCUCCGGGCUUAACUCGGAACGGUCAGCCGAUACUGCGGGGCUAGAGUGCAGAAGGGGCAACUGGAAUUCUCGGUGUAGCGGUGAAAUGCGUAGAUAUCGAGAGGAACACCUGCGGCGAAGGCGGGUUGCUGGGCUGACACUGACGCUGAGGCGCGAGAGCUAGGGGAGCGAACGGGAUUAGAUACCCCGGUAGUCCUAGCCUUAAACGAUGAAUGCUUGGUGUCUGGGGUUUUAUAGUCCCCGGGUGCCGUCGCUAACGCUUUAAGCAUUCCGCCUGGGGAGUACGGUCGCAAGACUG